rnacentral:lncRNA from 1 species
UUUUUGAAAACGCGCCCUAAAGCUAUCCAAUUUCAACAGUUAAAAUAAGUAUUACCUAUCUUAGUAAUACAUAUUAAAACCAUCAAAAAUAAUUAAGCGGCCUUAUUACAUUUAAAAGCCCAAAAACUUCAAACGUAAAUAAAAGGAUGUCCAGUUCACCAGAAGAAAAUCAACUUUCAGAACGGGUGGCCACUCCGAAUUCCCUCACAGCUCCAAGCCCACUAUGGUUGGGGAUUUCCUGCGUGAAUGAAAAUAAAAGGGGUGAGUUUGGGGAAACUCAGUGUGUAAGGAAAACCCAUUCAAAGCCCAAGUCAGCUCAAGCCUAUUGGGCCUAAGCCCAUUUGGGUAACAGUGGUACUGGGCCAGAGCCCUUUUCAGAUUACAAUAAACUGGGCCUUAGCCCCUUAUUCAGAUAACAGUAUGGCCCAUAAGCCCAUUUCAAAAUACAUGCAACAUCAGUAAACAUAUGCAAGCCCAUUUGGGGAGACUACUCAACCCACCAACCACUACACUCCACCCGUACCAGCCAUACACUCCAUGUGGGGAAUAGCUCAACCCACCCAGCCCAACACUCCACAGUUGCAGCCUUGCUGCUCAGUUAACAGUAAAUUGAGGCAAAGCCUCCAGUACGUGGACAAGCCACUUUCAGUACUUCCUCCGUCAAUAUCCCAGUCCCAUGCAUCAGAUAAUAACAACAUGGCAUGCAGUAAAUAACAACAGUCAAACAUGCAUUUAGGUCAAUUUAACCCUAUGGGUAUUUCGGUAAUUUAUCUCCUAGGGGUAAAACUGUAAAUUUUUCACUUUUAAAGGUAUUUCAGUAAUUUAUCUAUUUUAGGGUUUUUCAUGUAUAUUCGUACCUUUCACGUACUAACAGAAUCACUACCGAGGGUUCUUACCGAAUUGGGCCCGUUGGCCCAUCAUUCCAAUUUUGGCCCAUUAAGCCCAAAAAUAUCGAUGGCACAGAAAUCAUGCACUUUGCAGUCCAAAUUUUGCAGCUUACCAAAAACAUUAAUCGAUUUACCUCACGAGCAUUCGCACACUCGCAAAUCUACAAAAUACCGAUUUUCGGCAUUUCGACUUUUCAACUUUUGCCGAUCCAGACUACGAAAGAGGGUGUUAGUUACACACCUGUUUGCGACGAUAUGCUGAUGAGAUCCACACACGAACUGCCUACAAUUGGAUUACUAACACAUUAAUCUAACUAUUAAAAUAUGAACUACGUAUUAACCCCUUACAAUAUUCGGCCAACCACACCUACAGAUCAUAGUAAGCUUAUAAGAAAUCAAUAAGCAGCUCAUUAAGAAAUUUUUGUCAAUGUUUACCACAUAAUCAUAAUUUCACUGCAAGCUGUCUUCCUGAGCAACAGUCACUAAAUCAUUUAUAACUGGAGCUACGAAACUCCAAAUCAAGUACCGUUAAUUUUUCCUGAAAAUAGACUCAUAUAUCUUCUAUACAUAAAAUUUUCAGAAUUUUUGGUAUGGCCAAUCAAUACCAUAUUUUUCUUAAAGUUUCCCAUGUUUCACUGUUUGACUAAUCUGACCACUCUUCAUUACGAAUCAAAUUUCUCAUUGUACAGAAUUCAAAAUAUGUUCUAGUUUAUUCCAUUUGAAACUAGACUCAUUAAUCUUUAAUUACAUAAUUUAUGCAGCUUCUAACUCAUCUCCCACAAUUUAUGGUGAUUUUCCAAAGUCACGUUACUGCUGCUGUCCCAAGCAAAUUUAUUACCAAAUCACUCUUUCACACCUAACUUGCAUGCUUGUUAUUUAAACAUGUAUAUCACCAAUCAAUCAUCACAUAUCUAUGAUUUUAUUUAAGUAUAAUCUCCAUUUCAUCAUUUUAAAGCACAACAUGUUAGCCGAUUUUUCCCUUUAGCAUCUAAGGCACAUGCAUGCUCAUUUGUUUGGCUCAACUUCACAUAUCUUCCAUUUUUCAUCAAAAGAACAUGAAACAACAACCAUUUCCUUCAUUUUAAUUCAUGACCAAAUGCUCACAACACAACCAAAAAUCAAAAUAUACUUCAAGAGUUAAGGUAGAAUCAAGAAGAACUCAUGAACCUCAAAAUAGAAGCAAGGUACCAAGAACUUACCUUCAAUUUUCCUCCUCCUAAUGACUGAAUACUCAAGAGCUUUCUCCUCUCCUUUCUCUUCUCUAACUUUCAGCUAUGAUGAACAAAGAUGGACAAAACUUUGUUCUUUU